UUAGGGAAAAAAGUAAAAUGUGAUGGUUAGUCUUUUUGGCACAAAGAUUAUUUGAUCCUUGCAGAGAGGAAUCCUGGUCUUGAACAUAUAUAUGAUUUUUGCAUUUUGUUUUUAGUUAAAUCAAACUCUGUUACCUUUUUCAUUUCUAAUUUCAGUUGUAUGAAGCUUUUAAAAUCCUGUCAUACUUUUGAUUUAAUACUGUGUUUAUGCUCACAGAGGUCACCUCGUAUUAUCUAUAGUUUAGUUAACAUGAGAACGUUGCUUGCUAUUUUAUGGCACAAUCUUUGCAGCAGUCUUGCUAUCUUUCCAUUCCAUUAGCUCAGCACCAGCUGUCACUUUGGUUAAAGUGUUCCUGUUUUGGCAAGCUUUUUAGGGAUCCUAAACAACUAUGCUUCUUUUCUGAUUGUAUUCUUGUGGGUAUUUUUUUUUUUCCUCCCAUGUAAUGCUACAGAGAUGUUGAAAAA
rnacentral:lncRNA from 1 species